rnacentral:rRNA from 1 species
CCGCCAGAGGACUACAAGUGAAAAACUUAAAACUCAAAGGACUUGACGGUGUCCCAUACCGACCUAGAGGAGCCUGUCCUAUAAUCGAUACUCCCCGCUCCACCCAACCCCAACUAGCAUACCUCAGCCUAUAUACCGCCGUCGAUCAGCCUACCCUAUGAAGGUCCAACAGUAGACACAAUAGCCAUGUCGCUAAUACGUCAGGUCAAGGUGUAGCAAAUGUUGUGGAAGCGAUUGGCUACAUUUUUUAUUUUAAAAAAUACGAAAAAUACCAUGAAACAGUAUAUGAAGGUGAAUUUAGUAGUAAAAU